rnacentral:misc_RNA from 1 species
UUUUUUUUUUUUUUUUAAGAGUUUAUUUGAGUCUCUUUUCAAAGGAGUUGACAUUAAUAUCUUCUAAAACCCCAUUUUUUCAAUCGAGUAAACUUUAAUCGAUCCGGCAACGUCUGCAUCUAAUGAUUGAACCAAACAUCCCUCACCCUGAUAGAUUUAACUUGAAAAAAACAGUAAUAAAAAACACUUCAUCCUGGAAAAUAUCUAACGUUUAACCAGUCCCGCAAUGGCUCAUAGAGUGGGCACAGCUUGAACCAAACAUCCCUCACCCUGAUAGAUUUAACUUGAAAAAAACAGUAAUAAAAAACACUUCAUCCUGGAAAAUAUCUAACGUUUAACCAGUCCCGCAAUGGCUCAUAGAGUGGGCACAGCUUGCCCCCCCCAUCAAUGUGAUUCCCCACCAAAGGGAACAGAGCACAUGCAAAAGUAGAGGACUAUAAAAUCUGCAACUAACGGUGUUUCAUCAGGAAUGGAUCACUCAGUUUCUACCAACCACUCAGUUGUACCCCUAUGUACACAACAUACAAUUCAUGAUUACGUACAAGCUACAUCUUACAGCUCAUUUGAGACUUUCAAGACAAAUACUUGGCACUUACGAAUCCAAUAGCACCAACAAUUACAAUUUAUGAUACAUGCAGAAAACAACAAAAUGAACUUUAGAAAAUUGUAGACUAGCCCGAAAAACCACUAAAAGAUGUAUAGACUUACAUUCGAUAGAACAUAGAUGGGGGAGAGGGUAAAACUAUGUACAAGGUGGGGAUGGAUUAAAUAAAAAAGGCAGGGCUACCAUUGCCUUGCUCAGCAUAGGGGGUAUAUAUAUUUUUAUAUAUCUGUGUGUAUAACUAGAUACCAUACAAUACUAACUCCAUUAAGAGGUCCAAAAUUGGGUAUAACAUUCUUGCCAUCUAUUUCUGAGAUAACCAACAAGCUUUGCCAUCUUAAAAGAGGUAGAAUCGCUCCCAUCCCAAUUUUUCCAAUUGAAAUGGGCAUAAAAACCCUUGCCCCGCUUGCUUUUUGUUGAAAACCUCACCCAAGAGAACCCAACCUAACAAUUUUCAGUACCAUGCGCUGGAGGAAGAGGUAGGCAUUUCACUUCUUUUGCAUCUACGCCCUCCACAUCCAACAAAUUCUCAUCACCCUUUGAAUUUAAGGUCCCUGGAUUCAUCUUUUGUACCUCCUCUCUUGUAUAGAUAAAAAUCUUGCGAACCAUGCCAACAAAUUCCUGCCAGGGAUCAUCUCCAACAAGCAUCAUAUCGCCCUCAUCAUCUGUAUACACAAUCAGCCAAUUCUUUUUGGGAGCCAUUAAUUCACCAUCAAAUUCAAACAACCGAUCCAAUUCAGCAAUCAACUCAUCAUAGUUGUUGAAUUUGGUAAGAUCAACAGACCUUCCAAGUGCAAUGCCCUGCUUGUGAACCUUGGUACAACUCCUAGUGGAAACGUUUUGAACUUUGCCUUGAUUGUCCCUCGUAUGCAGGGCACCAGCUUGGACUUGUUUCUCAUGCUCAUUAUCAUCAGCCAGUUUAGAACCCUUGGAUUGUUCUGACCUUUGAUCACAUUCCAUUACACGAAGCUGCUGACUCUGAGGAUGUGUACUAAUGGGCUCAUUGACCGUGUUCCUAUGUGAAGCUGCUGGUUCCAGUGUAACAGGAUUACUAAACAAGGGAAUGCCAAACAGCUUACACUUUCCAUCUGUGGAUUUCCCAGUCUCUUGUUCUUGUACCAAAAUAGGUUUUGAAACUCUCUCUCUUGCAUGAGCGUUAUUAUGAAAAUGAGAUGGUGGUGGGGGAGGCAUCAACCAGUUUCCAUGCGAUUGCUCAACUCUAUGACCAUUAAGCAUUGGAUACUCAUUAAACGCACUGCAUCUGAUAUUUCCUCGUGCUUGAAAAGGCAUAUCACGACCUUCUACAGGAGCCUUCAUAUUAGACUCUGAUAACCUGAGGGAAAGACCAGAUGACAUCAAGGACCAUGGACUGGCAAGCGAGUUAAUCUUGCCUUCCUGAUCUAAUGCAAGUUCUCUGCUAGCGGCUGCUGCAGUUUGAUCAACAAAGGGUACACCAAAUCCAUGGGAGGAAUCAGCACGUGUCCCAAAGCCUGAUAACAAAUCUGUGUAGGUUGGCUCCUGCCUCCCAGAGGUCAUCCAACUCUCUGAUCCAUGCCUUCUCGAAGCAGAUAUCACAUCAAUCUUCUCUUCAUCUAUGGAAGAUGGCCACAUUAGAGAUUUUUCAGCAGUGUUAGAUUCAUUGCUCUCUGCAAAAUUGCCUCUCAAGGUCGAGAAUUCUUGACCUUGCAAGACCCUGGCAUAUCCACUUGGUGUUGGAGGGUCUACAGUUACUUUGGAUGAACCUUCUCUGGUAAGAACAGAGGAGUCUGGGGAUGAAGGCACCAUAUGAGAUCGAGGCCUUUUGGGCCUGGGCACAGGAAGGGGAUUCAAUGCGGGAGGAGCCAGUGCAGGUUCUAUGCUCCAUGGUGAAACUCUCUCUGGGCGAGGCAUAGUGGAGGUUUCAUCCCAUCUCACCUUCAGGCAUCUCCAUUUGGAUUCUCGCCACCUUUUGGGAUCAGCAUCUUCAAUUCCAACAAUUGUACCAGUAAAUCUUUGCUCAGGAGCUUCUUCUCCUUCAAAUCUCAUUUUAAACCUCAUUCCAAUGGAAUAGUUGUUCUUGACAGACUCCAUGUAUCGAUCAACUGGAACAAUGAACUCAGCUGGGCUUGUCCUUGGCUUAUAAUAAACAGUAAACAUGGUUCCCGUAGAGAUGGCAUGCCAUGCAGUAGCAAGCACACCCAGAUGCAUGCUGACACUGGAUAUGACAGAUGAUGGAACAUUACCCUGCUGUCUCAUUGCACGUCUAACACCAACUCGAAGUUCCCCAUUCUCGCCCCUUAAAAAUAUAAACGCAUCACCAGCAACAAGCCUUUUUGAGCUAACAAAUACACUCCAUCCACUUUGAAGCAAGUGCCUCCGCGGUUGACCCCGAAAGAUAUGCCUAAAACGCCAUUCAUUUCCAUGCAAAUCCUUGGCAACCAAUUCCUGUGUUGGAGGUUGCCUUGACAUAUCCAGAGGUGGCAGACAUUCAUCUGCAUGUCGACGAAGAACAGAAAACCCACCAUGGGUACUUGUAUCUGAGGCAGUUAAGGUUUUACAAAAUGAAUGCACAUGAAACCGUGGAGGAGGAGGUAAGGGAGGCUCCUUGUCCACUGCACUCUCAUCUUGGUUGGGUUCAGGAAGCAAAGUCACUUGCGCAAAUACCUCAUCUGUAUCUGGCUCAGCCUAAAAUCAACAGUUGUACCAACAGUUAAGUCCAGAUACACAAAUCCCUCCUAAAAAGCGACUUUAGAUCACCCUACCUUCAACUGGACGUUGAUCACGGUACACAAGAUCUUUGAUGGAAGAUCGUAAACUGGCACUUGCUGGUCCGCCACCUGAUUUGUGGACGCCGCCACCUAACCCAUUAACAGCAAGAUAACAGCAAAAAGGUGGGGGAUGAAAAAAAAAAAUGAAUCUUCUUGAAUCAUACAUCCAAUUUCAGGUAUACAUUAGCAACCAGAAAUUUUUUUAAAGUAACACAUGAAAAGUUUGAAAACAAAAAUAGAAGCCUUUCAACAGUAAACAAAAUCAAAAAAUCAACCCACAAAUUAAAGGGAAAUCCGUUCAACUUUAGGCUGUGAUGGGAAAAUUUUUUCAAAAAUAAGAAUGGUAAAAUUAGAUUAUGAAAAUUGAACCAAACCUGUUCGAUGUGUCCCUGAGGGAAGUAGAAGACGCGCUCUUUUUCACGAGGAACGGUUACCAAAGGACCAGCACAGGCAUGCCAGAGCUCCGUGUAAAGCGCUGUUUCAGCCUCUCUUGCAGAGAUGCGACGAUUAGAAUGACUUUGCUGUCCUUCCAUGGUGUUCCUUGGGUCGUUGGGUUCGCCAUGACCCGAAGAGAAGCUCUCUCGCCUUAAGUUUCCACCGUUACCCUUUAUUGAAAUCUCCGUAGAAUCCAUAAAUCUCUCUUUGCUAAACUCAGAUCUCACAUUUAAACCCUCAAAAUUAAAAGCUCUACUUCAUAACAACUAAGAAAAUCCCUCUCUAAUCAACCGUUACUAACUUUUUACCACUUCUUUCUGUCUCUAACCUUAGUAACAGAAGCUAAUCUUCAGUCUGAAGCGUAUAAACUAAAAGUUACACAUCUUCACCAACAAAUUUGUUCCUUCAACCACCAAUUUGCUUUCCUUCCACUCUCUCUGUUAGUCACUUUAUCGUUCUUCUGCAGCCAGAACAGUGGUUCUUUCAGCUAGCUAUUGCAAAUUGCAGCUAAGCAGGUACACACAGUAGCCUGACGCCUGACCUCUCCUGUCCCCCCCUCUCUCUCUCUCUCUC